rnacentral:rRNA from 1 species
AGUCAGUCGUGCUCAAUGGACUCAGCCGUUCUGCGGUGUAUUUCCAUUGGGUGGGGUCAACAUCAGUUUUGAUCGCUGGAUAAAGGCAGGAGGAAUGUAGCACCCCCGGGUGAACUUAUAGCCUCUUGUCACAUACAGUGGUUGGGACUGAGGAACGCAGCAUGCCUUUAUGGCCGGGAUUCGUCCACGUACAUGCUUAGGAUGUUGACAUAAUGGCUUUAAACGACCCGUCUUGA